AUUGAACGCUGGCGGCAGGCCUAACACAUGCAAGUCGAACGGUAACAGGAAACAGCUUGCUGUUUCGCUGACGAGUGGCGGACGGGUGAGUAAUGUCUGGGAAACUGCCUGAUGGAGGGGGAUAACUACUGGAAACGGUAGCUAAUACCGCAUAACGUCGCAAGACCAAAGAGGGGGACCCUCGGGCCUCUUGCCAUCGGAUGUGCCCAGAUGGGAUUAGCUUGUUGGUGGGGUAACGGCUCACCAAGGCGACGAUCCCUAGCUUGUCUGAGAGGAUGACCAGCCACACUGGAACUGAGACACGGUCCAGACUCCUACGGGAGGCAGCAGUGGGGAAUAUUGCACAAUGGGCGCAAGCCUGAUGCAGCCAUGCCGCGUGUAUGAAGAAGGCCUUCGGGUUGUAAAGUACUUUCAGCGGGGAGGAAGGGAGUAAAGUUAAUACCUUUGCUCAUUGACGUUACCCGCAGAAGAAGCACCGGCUAACUCCGUG
rnacentral:rRNA from 1 species